rnacentral:rRNA from 1 species
CAGCACCUCAAGUGGUCAGGAUGAUUAUUGGGCCUAAAGCAUCCGUAGCCUGCUUUGUCAGUUUUCGGUUAAAUCCAUACGCUCAACGUAUGGGCUGCCGGGAAUACUGCAAAGCUAGGGAGCGGGAGAGGUAGACGGUACUCGGUAGGAAGGGGUAAAAUCCUUUGAUCUAUUGAUGACCACCUGUGGCGAAGGCGGUCUACCAGAACACGUCCGACGGUGAGGGAUGAAAGCUGGGGGAGCAAACCGGAUUAGAUACCCGAGUAGUCC